rnacentral:lncRNA from 1 species
UAGGAUCUUUAUUUUAUCAGUUUUAUGUGUAAGUGACCUCAUUGUCUCGAAAAAUAAUCCAUUCUUUUUAAAAAUAAAAUGAAAUAAUUAUUUCUGCUUAUUAUCAUGAAUUUUAGGCACGAUAAAUUUUAUGCACACGUGACCUCAUUAUCUUGAAAAAUAAUCUUUUUGAUAAAAAUUGUGAUAUUUUAUCUAUGUUAGAAAUUUUGAAUGUUGUAAAUUAGAAAAAUAAAUUUAUUUAUUUUUCUUGUUUAUUGUUAGAAAAAAAUGUGAUAUUUCUGCUUUGAGUAAA